GUUAGUCCAGGGGCGACUUUUCCGCAAAAGCCCCGGAGUGUUGGCGCACCUGCCAGGUUACCCUGGGUCUGCAGUCCAUGUCAGAUUGGGGCGCAGUAAGUGAAGGCGCGGGUCAGGCUGCUAUGGCAGUACUGGCUUUGCUUUCCCACUCCGGCGGGAGCCUGUGUUGCAGCGUGUUUCCCUCUGCCUGCUGAGCUCCGGGAGGCCAGAAACGGCCUUUGACCCCUUGCCCCAGUGCCCGACAGCGAGUAGGCACUCGCCAUAACCAGCAGACCACAGCAUUCAGGCAUCCUGUGACGGGACAAUUUUCUCCGGAAAAUAGUGAAUUCAUUCUUCAAGAAGAGCCGAAUCCACAUAUGUCGAAGCAAGACAGAAACCAAAGACCGUCCAGCAUGGUCAGUGAAACAUCCACGGCUGGGACCGCCUCCACCCUGGAGGCCAAGCCUGGACCCAAGAUCAUAAAGUCCAGCAAUAAAGUCCACAGCUUUGGGAAGAGAGACCAGGCCAUUCGGAGGAACCCCAAUGUUCCCGUGGUGGUGAGGGGCUGGCUGCACA
rnacentral:sRNA from 1 species